rnacentral:rRNA from 1 species
GGUUUCCUGCACGACGUUAAUCGGAGCAGGGUGAGUCGGCCCCUAAGGCGAGGCUGAAGAGCGUAGUCGAUGGGAACCAGGUUAAUAUUCCUGGACUUUUUAUAAGUGGUGAAGUGGGGACGAAGAAGGCUAGGUGAGCCAGGCGUUGGUUGUCCUGGUACUUGCAUGUAGGGGGGAAGACUUGGCAAAUCCGGUUUUCCAUAACUCUGAGGUGCGAAGUGGUUCUGACCUUUUGGUACAGAGAAGUCAUUGAUGCCCGGCUUCCAGGAAAAGCUGCUAGCCAUAACUUAUAGAGAACCGUACCGCAAACCGACACAGGUGGACAGGUAGAGAAUACUAAGGCGCUUGAGAGAACUCGGGUGAAGGAACUAGGCAAAAUGGUACCGUAACUUCGGGAGAAGGUACGCCCUUUUGGGUGAGGGCAUUUACUGUCUGAGCUUAAGAGGGCCGCAGAGACCAGGUGGCUGCGACUGUUUAUUAAAAACACAGCACUCUGCAAAUUCGUAAGAAGACGUAUAGGGUGUGACGCCUGCCCGGUGCCGGAAGGUUAAUUGAUGGGGUUAUCUUCGGAGAAGCUCUUGAUCGAAGCCCCGGUAAACGGCGGCCGUAACUAUAACGGUCCUAAGGUAGCGAAAUUCCUUGUCGGGUAAGUUCCGACCUGCACGAAUGGCGUAACGAUGGCCACACUGUCUCCACCCGAGACUCAGUGAAAUUGAAAUCGCUGUGAAGAUGCAGUGUACCCGCGGCUAGACGGAAAGACCCCGUGAACCUUUACUAUAGUUUUGCACUGGACUUUGAUGAUGACUGUGUAGGAUAGGUGGGAGGCUGUGAAGUGAGGACGCUAGUUCUCAUGGAGCCGCCCUUGAAAUACCACCCUGUUGUUAUUGAGGUUCUAACUUGGUCCAGUAAUCCUGGAUGAGGACAGUGUAUGAUGGGUAGUUUGACUGGGGCGGUCUCCUCCCAAAGAGUAACGGAGGAGCACAAAGGUACCCUCGGUACGGUCGGACAUCGUACCAAGAGUGUAAAGGCAAAAGGGUGCUUGACUGCGAGAGUGACGGCUCGAGCAGGAACGAAAGUUGGUCUUAGUGAUCCGGUGGUUCUGAAUGGAAGGGCCAUCGCUCAACGGAUAAAAGGUACUCCGGGGAUAACAGGCUGAUACCGCCCAAGAGUUCAUAUCGACGGCGGUGUUUGGCACCUCGAUGUCGGCUCAUCACAUCCUGGGGCUGAAGCAGGUCCCAAGGGUAUGGCUGUUCGCCAUUUAAAGUGGUACGCGAGCUGGGUUUAGAACGUCGUGAGACAGUUCGGUCCCUAUCUGCCGUGGGCGUAGGAAAAUUGAGAGGAGCUGCUCCUAGUACGAGAGGACCGGAGUGGACGAACCUCUGGUGCACCGGUUGUCACGCCAGUGGCAUGGCCGGGUAGCUAAGUUCGGACGGGAUAACCGCUGAAAGCAUCUAAGCGGGAAGCCUCCCUCAAGAUGAGUUUUCCCAUGAAGCCCGUUGAAGACUACGACGUUGAUAGGCAAGGUGUGGAAGCGCAGUAAUGCGUGAAGCUAACUUGUACUAAUUGGCUGAUUGUCUUGACCAU